rnacentral:rRNA from 1 species
GACGAACGCUGGCGGCGUGCCUAAUACAUGCAAGUAGAACGCAGUUGCGAACGGGUGAGUAACGCGUAGGUAACUGCCUCAUAGCGGGGGAUAACUAUUGGAAACGAUAGCUAAUACCGCAUACUUUGAGAUGGACCUGCGUUGUAUUAGCUAGUUGGUGAGGUAAAGGCUCACCAAGGCGACGAUCCAUAGCCGACCUGAGAGGGUGAUUGGCCAAACGGGGACUGGGGACCGGCCCAGACUCCUACGGGGGGCAACAGUAGGGAAACUUCGGAAAUGGGGGGAAAUCUUACCGAGCAAAUGCGGGGUGUUGAAGAAAGGUUUCGGGUUGUAAAGCUCUUUUGAUAGAGAAGCGUUAACUAAAGAAAAAGGAACGGCUAACUACGUGCCAGCAGCCGCGGUAAUAC